rnacentral:rRNA from 1 species
CAGCAGCCGCGGGAAAACGUAGGGUGCAAGCGUUAAUCGGAAUUACUGGGCGUAAAGCGUGCGCAGGCGGUUUGUUAAGACAGAUGUGAAAUCCCCGGGCUCAACCUGGGACCUGCAUUUGUGACUGUAUAGCUAGAGUACGGUAGAGGGGGAUGGAAUUCCGCGUGUAGCAGUGAAAUGCGUAGAUAUGCGGAGGAACACCGAUGGCGAAGGCAGCCCCCUGGGCCAACACUGACGCUCAUGCACGAAAGCGUGGGGAGCAAACAGGAUUAGAUACCCCUGUAGUCCCUGUCUCUUAUAC